GACGAACGCUGGCGGCGUGCUUAACACAUGCAAGUCGAACGGGUCUGCCCUGUUUUUUGCGGGGUGGGUCAGUGGCGAACGGGUGAGUAACACGUGAGUAACCUGCCCCUCACUUCUGGAUAACCGCUUGAAAGGGUGGCUAAUACGGGGUGUUCUGGCUGUGCCGCAUGGUGUGGCUGGGAAAGAUUCACUUUUGUGGUGUUUUGGUGGGGGAUGGGCUCGCGGCCUAUCAGCUUGUUGGUGGGGUGAUGGCCUGCCAAGGCUUUGACGGGUAGCCGGCCUGGGAGGGUGGGCGGUCAGACUGGGACUGAGAUACGGCCCAGACUCCUGCGGGAGGCAGCAGGGGGGGGUAUUGCACAAUGGGCGGAAGCCUGAUGCAGCGACGUCGCGUGAGGGAUGGAGGCCUUCGGGUUGUGAACCUCUUUCGCCGGUGAAGAAGGUCCUGCUCUUUGUGGUGGGGUUGACGGUAGCCGGGUUAUGAAGCGCCGGCUAACUACGUG
rnacentral:rRNA from 1 species